rnacentral:rRNA from 1 species
GUGGGGAAUCUUGCGCAAUGGGCGAAAGCCUGACGCAGCCAUGCCGCGUGAAUGAUGAAGGUCUUAGGAUUGUAAAAUUCUUUCACCGGGGACGAUAAUGACGGUACCCGGAGAAGAAGCUCCGGCUAACUUCGUGCCAGCAGCCGCGGUAAUACGAAGGGGGCUAGCGUUGCUCGGAAUUACUGGGCGUAAAGGGCGCGUAGGCGGACAGCUUAGUCAGAGGUGAAAGCCCAGGGCUCAACCUUGGAAUUGCCUUUGAUACUGGCUGUCUUGAGUUUGGGAGAGGUGAGUGGAACUCCGAGUGUAGAGGUGAAAUUCGUAGAUAUUCGGAAGAACACCAGUGGCGAAGGCGGCUCACUGGCCCAAUACUGACGCUGAGGCGCGAAAGCGUGGGGAGCAAACAGGAUUAGAAACCCUUGUAGUCC